AUACCGACAACAAUGAAAUUUAUAGUAAG
rnacentral:tRNA from 1 species